GCCAGCCCGCUCAGAACUUAAAGGAAUUGACGGGGCCGCACAAGCGGAGGAGCAUGUGGUUAAUUCGAUGAUACGCGAGGAACCUUACCUGGGCUCGAACGUAAGAUGACUGUAGGUGAAAGCUUACAUCUCUUCGGAGCAUUUUACGAGGUGCUGCAUGGUUGUCGUCAGCUCGUGCCGUGAGGUGUCGGGGUUAAGUCCCAUAACGAGCGCAACCCCUACCUUUAGUUGCCAUCAGGUUAAGCUGGGGACUCUAAAGGAACUGCCUACGCAAGUAGUGAGGAAGGCGGGGAUGACGUCAAAUCAGCACGGCCCUUACGUCCAGGGCUACACACGUGCUACAAUGGCCGAUACAGAGGGCAGCUACCUGGUGACAGGAUGCAAAUCUCCAAAGUCGGUCUCAGUUCGGAUCGGAGUCUGCAACCCGACUCCGUGAAGUUGGAUUCGCUAGUAAUCGCGCAUCAGCCAUGGCGCGGUGAAUACGUUCCCGGGCCUU
rnacentral:rRNA from 1 species